CCUACGGGAGGCAGCAGUAGGGAAUCUUCCACAAUGGACGAAAGUCUGAUGGAGCAACGCCGCGUGAGUGAAGAAGGGUUUCGGCUCGUAAAGCUCUGUGGGUAGAGAAGAAAGAUAGAGGUAGUAACUGGCCUUUAGUUGACGGUAAUGACGUAGAAAGGCAGGGCUAACUACGUGCCAGCAGCCGCGGUAAUACGUAGGUGGCAAGCGUUGGCCGGAUUUAUUGGGCGUAAAGCGAGUGCAGGCGGUUCAAUAAGUCUGAGGUGAAAGCUUUCGGCUCAACCGGAGAAUUGCAUCAGAAACUGUUGACCUUGAGUGCCGCAGAGUAGAGUGGAACUCCAUGUGUAGCGG
rnacentral:rRNA from 1 species